UGAGUGAUGUAUAUGGCACCCAUUUACGGAGGGUGUAACAAGGAGACCUCAGUCACUAGGUGCUGUCUCCAGUCUUCUGGCUUCAGUUUCAGCUUCAACUUACCUCUUGUUUUGAGUCUGAGCUUUGAACUUCAGUUAGGUAAUCCCAGUUUAUCCAAAUCAUCUGAGUACUAAACCUGAAUAAAAGACACAGAGAAUGCUUGCUUUUUAGAUGAGCUUAAUUUUGUCACUCACAGGGAUUUAGGGCUAUUAUCAUUUUGUCUCUGAUCGUUCGAACACUUCCAGCACUCGGUAGGUGUGCGGGAGAUCUGGCUUGAACAGAAGCUAGUCCAGUUUAAUGGAAAGAGACAUGGCUUUGGAGUGCAUGAAGUGCUUUUGCAGUUCCAUUUGUAGUUGUGGGCAUAUCCCGUGCUUCUCUGGUAACUUUGCCAACUCUAGAAUAGUUAAGAAUGCAUGCAUUUUUUGUACUGGAUAUAAUUUUAAAAUUUUGUUUAUAAUGUGCAUUGAUAUUUUGCCUGGAUAUAUAUCUGUACACUACAUGUGCACAUACCUGGUGUCCUCACAGACCAGAAGGUCAGAUCCCCCAAGAACUAGGUUACAGUUGGUUAGCAGCUGCCAUGUGGGUUCUGAGGAUUAACUGGGCCCUGGGGGAAAACAUCUAUCUAUUGCUCAUACUGCUUGUCCCUCUCUCCAGCCUUGGAUUGGAUCUGUGACAUAUGCAGAGUAUCUAGAGCAAUGGAUGUCAAUUUCCUCACACUUUUCCCCACUAGUUAAUGUUGACUCUAGGGGGUGAAUGUAUUUAUUAGAUGACCAGAUUUAUAAGAGAUUGUGUCCAGCUAAUAUCUCAAAGUACUGAAGCCAAAGGUUAUAAUCAGACCACUUAAUAAUGGGACUGAUUCCAAAAUUCUAUGGGGAGAAAAAUUAUUGAGUAUUCUAAAACUUCUAGAGUACUAUAAAAUCUCACAACAACCAAAUUGAUUAGAUUAGGCUUAUUUGAUAUUUGUGGGCUGGGGAUACAACUCUGCCUAGGAUGCAGUCGAGUCAGGCAAUUCAAUUCCUAACACCACAUAAACUGGAGGUGGUAGUGCAAUGCCUUGUAUGGCAGUGCUUGGGAGCUGGAGGGUCAGAAGUCCAAGGCUUUAUGGUGAGGCUGAGGCCAGCCUGGGAUACAGAAAACUCCAUCUCAAAUAGG
rnacentral:lncRNA from 1 species